rnacentral:tRNA from 1 species
GUCAGGAUGGCCGAGCGGUCUAAGGCGCCAGACUCAAGGUUUUCCUUGUCUGUACCAUUACAGAUAUAUUGGGCGUUCUGGUCCUCUCUUGAGGGCGUGGGUUCGAAUCCCACUUCUGACA